rnacentral:lncRNA from 1 species
UUAAAUAUGUUGGUUGUGAUAUUUUGUGAUAUUAUUUUUAAAAAUAAAUUUAAUAUAUUUGUGAUAUUUUGUUCAAAAUGUUGGUUGUGUUAAAAGAACUUUUACCUUUUUUCACUGAAAUAUUUUUUUCAAAAUAUUAGACACAUUAAACAAGAACUAAAAAAUAUAAAACAUAAAAUAUAUAGUACUAUAUUUUAAUUUUAAAAAAUAAAAUAAAAAUACCAUUCAAGUUUUAAAAAAUUUAAAAAA